rnacentral:rRNA from 1 species
AAAACAUCCCUACGGGAGGCAGCAGUGGGGAAUAUUGCACAAUGGGGGAAACCCUGAUGCAGCAACGCCGCGUGAGUGAUGAAGGCCUUCGGGUUGUAAAGCUCUGUCUUUGGGGACGAUAAUGACGGUACCCAAGGAGGAAGCCACGGCUAACUACGUGCCAGCAGCCGCGGUAAUACGUAGGUGGCAAGCGUUGUCCGGAUUUACUGGGCGUAAAGGGAGCGUAGGUGGAUAUUUAAGUGGGAUGUGAAAUACCUGAGCUUAACUUGGGUGCUGCAUUCCAAACUGGAUAUCUAGAGUGCAGGAGAGGAAAGUGGAAUUCCUAGUGUAGCGGUGAAAU